rnacentral:lncRNA from 1 species
CUUACAUAUUUCCUCCUUCCCUUUUACAAGAUAACCCUAAGGGUUCUAAGGGUUGCAAAAGGAUGAAGGGUUGCAGAAGGAUGAAGGUCCGUCUCCUGCAAUUUUUUCAUGCUGAAUAGGGUCUAUGAUAUUCCUGCCUAACUAUUGGGGUCUCUUGUAUUUAGGGUAGAGAGGAGCUCAAUCAGAAAGCAUUAGUCCGUUAAGCAUCGGUUGUACCUCUGAGUUCCAGCAAAAGGUAAAACUCUGGCGCUCCAGCAGUUUCUCAGCUUCCUGUGUGGUUUCCUUGAUCUGUCCCCAUGGUACCUGUUAGUUCCUGCAAGUUCCUGCAAGUCUCUGUCUGUCCCUACCUAUCUCUCUUUCCUUAUCUCUAUUUCCUUAUCUCUACUUAUUUCUUAUUGUCCCUGCAGGCCUCUUCAGGUCCCUUCAGGUCUCUGUCCCUGAUAGUUCCUUUAAGUUUCUGCUAGUCUUUGCUAGUCUCUACUUUUGUAUCUCUUUAGGACACUGACCUUAUAUUGCUCUUAUAUUGCUAGUCUUUGCUAGUCUUUAUCCCUAUCUGUCCCUAUUUGUCCCUGUUCGGGCACCACUUGUGACUGACUGCCAUGGUUACUACUUGAGGCCAUCACUACAACAGUUACUACUGUUACUGCUUGAGACCAUCAUUAUGACUGAACAAAGGGAUAAACACAGAAAUGAUGACAAAAGAAACUAUUUAAAGGAAAGGCUAGCAUGGAGAAGAGGAAGAGAGCUCCCUGCUUCUAGUGAGCAAAGGCAGCCCCCCCUUGAGCUUCUACAGCCCUUCUUAUUAGGUAACAAGAGCAAGGAGGAGGAGUGAAAUCAUCAUGCCAUAUGACCCUGUUGUUUUUGAAAUCUGGGUACCAAGGAAAAAUCCAAAGAUUGGAACUAACUAGCUAAAAAUCAAACUAACUGAGAAUACUUUAGCCAUUACUUAGUAGUCAUGUUUUCUAUCACGGUGUCUUACUAAAAUCAAACGUCACUGAGCAUGGUGAUUUAUUCAUUCAUUUGCCCAAUGCAUUUAUUUAUUGAAUCAUCAAGUUUUUCUAGAGUGCAUAUGAUGGUCCUUGCAUUGUUCUAAAAAAUGGGAUCUAUAGGGCAGUUUUUCUGACUUUCAAAACCUACAUUUCACUAGGAUGAAUAAGUGAUAUACAGAAAAAAUUAAUCAAAUAUAUUAUGAUACAUAUACAUAAUGACACAUAUACAAGCAUAUAUUAAAGUGCAAAGAUAAUUCCUUUUUAUAAUGUAAUGCUUGAGUUGAUUCCUUUACAAAAACAUGGACCUGAAAAUGCAUCAAGUUAAACGAUAGUUUUUG